AAGACGAUACUUUUAAGGAUCAUUUCUGUGGUCUGUGACGAGAGAAAUCGUGAACUAAAACGUUCGGUCUCACAACCACGAGGAGGAGCUAUGACGUUUUUUCCUGAGCGCGAAGCAGUCCGCAUGCCUUGAUUUAUGCAAUGGUUUACGGGCAAUGAUGACCGUUCCCUUCUCACGCUGCGGGAGUUGUGGAGGAAGGUAAUGCUGUAUAAUGCU